rnacentral:rRNA from 1 species
GUGUUCGGGUUGUCAUGCCAAUGGCACUGCCCGGUAGCUAAAUGCGGAAGAGAUAAGUGCUGAAAGCAUCUAAGCACGAAACUUGCCCCGAGAUGAGUUCUCCCUGACUCCUUGAGAGUCCUGAAGGAACGUUGAAGACGACGACGUUGAUAGGCCGGGUGUGUAAGCGCAGCGAUGCGUUGAGCUAACCGGUACUAAUGAACCGUGAGGCUUAACCUUACAACGCCGAAG